UCGCUCUGGAGAAUCUCAUUUUGUUUUGAGUACCGAAGGUGCAAAGCAGCGGUUCCGCUGCCGAAACUCUCAGGUCAAAGGACAGGGUC
rnacentral:ncRNA from 1 species